rnacentral:rRNA from 1 species
UACGGAGGGUGCAAGCGUUAAUCGGAAUUACUGGGCGUAAAGCGUGCGCAGGCGGUUUGUUAAGUCUGCUGUGAAAUCCCCGAGCUCAACUUGGGAAUUGCAGUGGAUACUGGCAGGCUGGAGUAUGGUAGAGGAAGGUGGAAUUCCCGGUGUAGCAGUGAAAUGCGUAGAGAUCGGGAGGAACACCAGUGGCGAAGGCGACUACCUGGCCCACUCUUGACGCUGAGGCGCGAAAGCUAGGGGAGCGAACGGG